UUUGGGAGGCUGAGGCAGGAGGAUCACGAGUACAAGAGAUCCAGACCAUCGUGGCCAACAAGGUGAAACCCCGUCUCUAGUAAAAAUACAAAAAUUAGCUGAGCGUGGUGGCAUGUGCCUGUAGUCCCAGCUACUCGGGAGGCUGAGGCAGGAGAAUUGCUUGAACCCGGGAGGCAGAGGUUGCAGUGAGCCAAGAUUGCGCCACUGCACUCCAGUCUGGCAACAGAGAGAGGCUCCGUCCAAAAAAAAAAAAAAAAGUCUGGUAUACUCUGGUAUCUCUUCAGAUUAUAUCAAUUUUUCACCUUUUCCUAAAGAUUUAUGUGAAGAGAAACAAUUCUGAGUCUUAACCAAAUUUUUUGAGGCCUUUAGUCUUCAAGGCAAUUUUAUUUUAUUAUUAUUAUUUUUUGAGAUGGAAUCUCACUUUGUCACCCAGGCUGGAGUGCAGUGUUGCGAUCUUGGCUCACUUGCAACCCCCACUGCCGGGGUCCAAGCAAUUCUUCUGCCUCAGCCUCCCAAGUAGCUGGGUUACAGUCAUGCACCACCAUACCCAGCUAAUUUUUGUAUUUUUAGUAGUGGCGGGGUUUCACCAUGUUGGCCAGGCUGUUCUCGAACUCCUGACCUCAGGUGAUUUGCCCACCUCGGCUUCCCAAAGUUCUGUGAUUAUAGGCAUGAGCCACUGCGAUUCAGGGCUAAUUUUAAAACAACAACAACAACAACAACAACAAAAGAAUUUGGCUGUGAUUUAGCCCACCUCUCUGUGCCUAGAAUUAGAAUGCAGUAAGAUACACCAGUAGGUCCUCAGAGUUUAGCUGCUUCAGAAAGACUAGAAAGUGCCCUUUCACAAUCAGUCAUGGUUCAGAACACAAGACUUAAAAAGUCACUACCUUGCUGGCACCCAAUGGGGACGAUGAGAAUGGGUCUGUAGUCUCAUCUUUUUCUGUGCAGCUAUGCUGUUCCCUACUAGUCUUGUGUCAGAGAAGUUUCCUCUGUUGGUAUAAACACUGGCAGGAGCCAUUAAAGUAAUUAUGGUCAAUACAUAGAGCCUAUGGGGAAUAGUUGUGCAACCUGAUGAUCAGGAAGAGGUACCAGACAUGGCAAGGGAAGAACUGGGUUUGAGCCCUGGUUCUGCCACUUACCAGCGAGGCCGCAGGUCCCAGACAUGGUAAAAGCAGAGCACUUCUGGUGAUGUAACAGCUGUCAUGGUGAGUGUUUACUCCUGUUCUCAAGCACCAUAAAAGCUCUCAAGGCCAGGUGCGGUGGCUCACGCCUGUAAUCCUAGCACUUUGGGAUGCCAUGGCGGCCGGAUCACCUGAGGUCAGAAGUUAAAGACCAGCCUGGCCAACAUGGUGAAACCUCGUCUCUACUAAAAAUACUAAAAUUAGCCUGGCGUGGUGGCACACGCCUGUAAUCCCAGCUACUCGGGAGGCUGAGGCAGGAGAAUUGCUUGAACCCGGGAGGCGGAGGUUGCAGUGAGCCAAGAUCACGCCACUGCACUCCGGCCUGUGUGACAGAGCAAGACUCUGUCUCAAAAAUAAAUAAAUAAAUAAAUAAAUAAAUAAAUAAAUAAAUAAAUAGCUCUCAAGAGCCAUAGGACAUAAGGCCAUUGCUAUCACAUUCUUCUUCUUCUGAUCCUCACUCCAUAUAAGGAAAGAAAGAUAGGCAGAAUGGUUAAAAACCUCUAGUUAGAACUGGUUUGAAAACCUCCACCUCUAUCUCUUCCUAACUGCGUGACCUUGAAUAUGCUACUUAGCCUCCCUGAGCCUGUUUCUUCAUCUGUAAAAUGAGGGUAAUUAAGAAAGCAAAGGCUGGGCGUGGUGGCUCACGCCUGUAAUCCCAGCACUUUGGGAGGCUAAGGUGGGCGGAUCACGAGGUCAGGAGAUCGAGAACAUCCUGGCUAACAGGGUGAAACCCUGUCACUACUAAAAAUACAAAAAAAUUAGCCAGGCAUGGUGACGGGCGCCUGUAGUCGCAGCUACUCAGGAGGCUGAGGCAGGAGAAUGGUGUGAACCCGGGAGGUGGAGCUUGCAGUGAAUCAAGAUCAUGCCACUACACUCCAGUCUGGGAGACAGAGCAAGACUCUGUCUCAAAAAAAGAAAGAAAGAAAGAAAGAAAAAGAGAGAAAGAAAGAAAGAGAAAGAAGGAAAGAAAGAAAGAAAGAAAGAAAGACCUAGCCUUCUAAAAUGUUUAUUUAUUUAUUUAUUUUGAUAUGGAGUCUUGCUCUUGUCACCCAGGCUAUAGUGCAAUGGCGCAAUCUUGGCUCACUGCAACCUCCGCCUCAACUGAUUCUCCUGCCUCAGCCUCCCUAGUAGCUGGGAUUACAGGCAUGUGCCACCACGUCAGGCUAAUUUUAGUAUUUUUAGUAGAGACGGGGUUUCACUAUGUUGGCCAGGCUGGUCUCAAACUCCUGACCUCAGGUGAUCGGCCCACCUUGGCCUCCCAAAGUGCUGGGAUUAUAGGCAUGAGCCACCACACCAGGCUGAGCAUGUAUUAAAACCAGGACUGCCCCAAGCACAUUACAUAGAUUCCCUGGGAUAAAUUUACACACUAACCUUACUUAUAAGUAAAAUUAUUAUCCACAAUUUACAGAAGAAGAAACUGAGAGAUUAAGUUAUUUGUUCAGGUUUACACAGCUAGCAGAUACAGAGUCACAGAUAGAACUCAGGGACAAUAAUACCACCUGACAACAUUACUGUGAGGCUUAAAUAGUCAACUGUGAUAACAUGUGGGAGUUAUCACAUGUGAAUAGACGACAACAGUAGCACAAAGAAUGGGAGGUGACGUAAAGGGAAUUAUCCUUCUUCCAUUAUACAUAAAGUGGUAUAAUAUUAACCCAAAGUAGACUGUGAUAAAUUAAAAAUACAUAUUGUAAUCCCCACAGCAACCACAAAAAAAAAUCUACAAAAGUGUAUCAUAUAAACAGGCCAGGCGCAGUGGCUCAUACCUGUAAUUCCAACACUUUGGGAGGCUGAUUCAGGAAGAUUAGCCCAGGAGUUUGAGACCAGCCUCGGCAACAUAGCAAGACUCCUGUCUCCACAAAAAUAAAAACAAAAAUUAAAAAUAUUUAAAACCCCCCCCACACAAAGAAAAAUAUAUAAUCACAUUAUAAUGAGAUGAUAGAGGAAAUAAAGUGAAAUAAUAAAAAUAUUCAAUACAAAAGAAAGUAAGCAAGCAAGAGCAAAGGAACAGAAAAUAAGUGGGAUCAAUAGAAAACAAAUAGCAAAAUGGUAGACUUAAACCGAGCUAUAUCAGGAGUUACUACAUUGGACUAAACACUAAAAAGGCAGAGAUUGUCAAACUAGAUUAAUAAGCCAUCCCCAACUAUAAGCUGCUUAAAGCGACAUACUUUAAAUAGAGAGACACAGACAAGCGGGACAGGUUGCAAGUAAAAAUAUAAAUGGUAUAUACACUAAGGAGAAGAAAACUGAGGUGGUUAAUAUCAAAGAAGACUUCAAGACAGGGAGGAUUACCAGAAAAAAAAAAGACAGAAAUUUUAUAAUGACAAAAGACUCAAUUUAUCAAGAACACAUAGCAAUUAAUUAUGAGUAUGCAGCUAAUGAGAAAAUUUCAAAAU
rnacentral:lncRNA from 10 species